GCUUUAUCAUGAUACCUGCUUUAUUGAGGUGGUCUGGACCGGAACCUGCAAUAUCUCUGAGAUAUACCUGUAUCUGAAUAAUUCAUACUCUUUGUCUUCCUGAAGCCAUUCUCUAGAUUCGCCCCUGCAAUCUAGCUGCCCCUGUCACAGAGAACUGCCCAAACAAAGACAUCUGAGAUCACAGUGGAGCCGGACAACCAGAUAUUGAGCCAAAGCAGGAUUAUUUACCACAUUUCAGAGAUGAAAAACCAAUGCAUGGAGAGACAUGUCCAAAAACACAGCUAGGAGGUGGCAGAGAUGGGAUUCAAACCCAGGCAGCCUGGCUCCAUCAAUUCUGUGUUACCUCCCAUGUAGAAAUCACUAGAGCCACUUUUGAGUCAUCUAAUUUCUGAAAGCACAUCACUUUGCUGCCUUCUAAGUUGAGAGAGAGCACUUUUGAAAAAUCAACUUUACUGAGAAAUAAUUUACCUAUAAUAAAAUGCAUCCAUUUUAAGUGUAAAGUUUGGUGAGCUUUGGCAAAUGUAUACCACCCAAUCAAGAUGUAGAACAUUCCCCUGCCCCUGACUUGGCCAUCACUAAUCUACUUUCUGUUACUACAGAUUAGUUUUGCCCAUUCUAGAAUUUCAUAUACAUGAAAUCCUUAGUUAUAUACACCAUUGUGUCUAAGUCCAGCAUAAAGUUUUUGAGAUUUGUCCACAUUGAUGAAGAGAGAAUACUUUUUGAAUUAUGUGAUGCUAUCACUGGGAAUUUUAACUAAGCCUUUUUGUAUAGCAUUUGUACAAAACAGGUUUUUUUUUCCAUUCUCCCAUAGCUAUGUAUUAGUAUUCAGUUGGUCAGACAACCCACAGACCCCUUCUAUAAUGUUUUGACACAAAUCUUAACUGUUAUCCAUAAAUAUUUCAGUGUUUUUUUCUAAGAGUUUUUAAAAAACUAUAUAUAGAACUAUAGUACCAUUAUCAAACCUAAAAAAAAAUCAACACCAUAUUGCUAUUUAAAAUGACUGUUGAGAGGUUUGUUUACACGUAAUACUUAGGAUUGUGAGAAAUAAUUACUAAGUGUGUGGUCAAUUUCUUUGCUUCCCUGUUUACUGAUUCCGUCAUGGGACUACUUAUAAUCAUCCAAAAGUAGCUUGGCUGAGGUCAUUUCAGGGUAAUGUGUUUUCUCCAAAAAAGUGCUUUUUGGUUCACAACAAGUUUAGAGAGCAUCUUAUUACAGGAGGGAUUUUGUAAGGACCCAAAUGUAAGUAAACUCUUUUCUCAGAUGAUUUCAGAAUCAUUAAUUUAUUGGACUUGUGAGAAAGGAAUGAAGGGUGAUGGCUCCCCUGGGUUCCGGUUGAGGGACAGUGGAUGGGUUUCACCAUCCGGCUUGUAGUAGGUACUGAGCUCAGUUCUAGAGAUUUGAGCUUGAGUAGCCCAUGACACCCCCGCAAAGAUGUAGUUGGCAAUGUGUCUGGAAAGGGGUCUAGGCUGGAGCCUUCACGUUCAGGUGUGAAUGAAACCAGGCUGUGUGUGGAGUAACUGAGAAGCAACAGCCUGAUAGAGGUAGGAGCAAAACGAGAAGGUGGUGUUGUGGAAGCCAGAGAGAAGUGCUUUAAAGGGGGUGGUCACGUAUUGUAUAAUUUCACAUUAUGUGAGAUGUCCAGUAAAGAUAAUUAACAGAGAAAGUAGACUAAUGAAGGUUGGAGGUGGGGGGUAGCGAGGGAUCUUACUGGGUGGAUAUUCAAAAACUAACUUACAGUGAUGUCUGCACCACUCAUUUGAAAUAGGUGUAUCUGGUGUAUUUAUGAUACGUAAAAUAUACUUCAAGCAGUUUAAAAAAUAGUAGUCAACUGCCCAUUUACUGGUUUGGUCCUUCAUUCAUUGGUGAAUGUGGUCAGAUGGAGAGGGGAAUUGGGGGCAAGACGGAGCAGAAGCUAGUUGCAGUGGGUGGGGAAUGACAGGGUUGUGUCCAUGACUCAUUCCAGGUGCUUGUUUGUGAAAUGGAGAGGGAGGGGGUGGUGGCUGGAAAGGGCUAGGAGUUGUGGUUUAUUUUUUCAUGUUUUAAAUGUGUAAGAGGCCUCAGGUAGAUUUGGCAGGGAGAACGGACAGGACCUGCUGACCAGAUGAGGGGGUAAGAGGGAGAGUAGCCAAGGAAGCACCAAGCUGUCUGGCACGGGAAGCACAGCACGUAAACGCAAUCUCCCUUUGCCCGCAGCCGGACUCAAGCAUCACAGAAAGGCCUGACAGGAGGAAGUUGUUAUAAAAAAAACAUAGCUGGGAGGAGGGAACCAAUCAGUGGGUAAACAGGCAAAGGAGGCAGUCUCCUGACUCCAUGGUCAAGCAUCCUUCAGGGCCCUUCACAUCUGGCCUUCCCCUACCUGUUCAGCCUCUUCCCUCAUGCCCAGUAGCCAGGCCAGCUUCCCAUUCUCUGACUUCCUCUUUGAGUCCUGUUGCCACCAUUCAGGAUACUCUUCACAGUUGUUCUUAACCACCACCUAGUUGCCCUGCAUCUGCCCCCAGAAGACUGGAAAAGGUAGGCAAAAGUUCCUGCUCAUUAAUAAAAUCUUCUGCCUGCAAGGCCUCCUGUCCGAUUUCUGGUUGUGGACCAAAGUUUGUGUCCUAGUUGUGGCAGGUCCUGCUCAAAUCCCAAACCUGAGGUCCACUUUCUUAUCACCCACCCACCAGUCAUAAAGCUUAUCAGUUGGGCACUGAAAGAUCCUCUCUGUUGCUCUUCCUUACACUCAGUGGUCUAGCUACACCACCCAAUUUAAAAAUACCUGGCUGGAAAAAACAAACAAACCAAAAACCUGACUGCAAUCUCUAGCUCCAAAGCCAUGGUGGCUACUUAGCCUCCUUUAAUCCCUGGGGUGAAUGCUACUCCCCCUCCCCCCGCCACUGGCCAAUGAAAUGCAGGCUGCCAAAAAAGGAGCCCCGCCCUCCCCCAAUUAUCUGCAGUGGGCCCAGCCCCUGGGAGUUGAGAGACUAUCAAGGAGAUGGCUCUGCUCCCGAACAUACUUGCACUUGCUAGCAGGAGGGCAUACAGCUAAGUGACCAAUUCUGACCACUCUGGCCUUCCUGCUCCAUUGGACCCGGAGAUCUCAUCCUUCACCCUGAAUUCCAGACUUCACUGUAACUUAGGAUGAGGAAAGGAACAAUUUUUGUAGGGUCCCUGGUCAGCCUGGGUACCAGAGCACUGGGAAAUGGUCACAGAUCACUCUUUCUUUCAAUCAAUCAAUCAAUCAAUGCAGUGAGAAGUCUGCAUUCCACCAAGGAGAGGGCUUCUGGGAUCCAGUGCCCUAACUGGCUUAGUACCCUCAAUUCCUGCCCUCCUAUUAAGUCUAGCCACACAAGCAAACCCAAAGCUCCCUACUGCUUCUGGCCAGCACACAUGGAAAGUGCUCCCAAAAUCUGCCUCCCAAAUACACUUGCUCUAACCUUCUAAUACAGUCCCUGCACCCCAUCUGUUCUUGUAGACUUUCUGCACUCUCCCUCACUUCCUGGGCCUGCCUUCAUUCUAAGGGUGUGGAUUUUGACUCUCCUUUGACCUACACCCAUGGCAGCAGGACUCCUGGGGAGGGACCCACCCUUGCUGACCAGAGUAGCCAGGCCAGACCACUUCUGUACCAAGUCAGUCCCAACCCCAGAGUCCCACUCUGGCCUGGAGCCCUAGGUAACAAAGAGGCAGACACUUAGUUUCCGUUAGGUUGUAGGAAUUUAUUUUAAAUAACCUACAGUUGAUUAAAAGGGAAUUCAUGAUAAAAAUAGAAGAUACUUGAGGAGAGAUGUGGGAAAUGGACUCUGCACGCACACUAAACUAACAAUGCCUCUAAAACUAAUGAUUAUAGCAAAAAAUGUUUUCACAUUAAAAUUCUGCUUUUUAUGUGUUCUUUUUUUCCAUUUUUUU